rnacentral:rRNA from 1 species
UACAGAGGUGGCAAGCGUUGUUCGGAAUUACUGGGCGUAAAGGGCGCGUAGGCGGUUCGUUAAGUCCUGUGUGAAAUCCCCCGGCUCAACUGGGGAACUGCACAGGAAACUAGCGGGCUUGAGUUCGGGAGAGGGAAGCGGAAUUCCGGGUGUAGCGGUGAAAUGCGCAGAUAUCAGGAAGAACACCAGUGGCGAAGGCGGCUAUCUGGACGGUUUCUGACGCUAAGACGCGAAAGCGUGGGGAGCAAACAGG